rfam:Schistosoma mansoni strain Puerto Rico chromosome 4, complete genome
ACCGAGUUGACAAGUCCAAAAUAGGACGAAAUGUGCGUUCUCGAU